rnacentral:rRNA from 1 species
AAGGAUCAUUAUUGAAAACAAGGGUGUCCAAUUUAACUUGGAACCCAAACUUCUCAAUUCUAACUUUGUGCAUCUGUAUUAAUGGCGAGCAAUUUCGAUUGUGAGCCUUCACUUACAAAACACUAGUCUAUGAAUGUAAAAUUUUUAUAACAAAUAAAAACUUUCAACAACGGAUCUCUUGGCUCUCGCAUCGAUGAAGAACGCAGCGAAAUGCGAUACGUAAUGUGAAUUGCAGAAUUCAGUGAAUCAUCGAAUCUUUGAACGCAUCUUGCGCUCUCUGGUAUUCCGGAGAGCAUGUCUGUUUGAGUGUCAUGAAUUCUUCAACCCAAUCUUUUCUUGUAAUCGAUUGGUGUUUGGAUUCUGAGCGUUGCUGGCUUUGCCUAGCUCGUUCGUAAUACAUUAGCAUCCCUAAUACAAGUUUGGAUUGACUUGGCGUAAUAGACUAUUCGCUAAGGAUUCGGUGGAAACAUCGAGCCAACUUCAUUAAGGAAGCUCCUAAUUUAAAAGUCUACCUUUUGAUUAGAUCUCAAAUCAGGCAGGAUUACCCGCUGAACUUAA